rnacentral:rRNA from 1 species
UACGUAGGGAGCGAGCGUUGUCCGGAUUCAUUGGGCGUAAAGAGCGCGUAGGCGGCGCAGUUAGUCAGGCGUGAAAUUCCUGGGCUCAACCUGGGGACUGCGCUUGAUACGGCUGUGCUAGAGGAUGGAAGAGGCUCGCGGAAUUCCCAGUGUAGAGGUGAAAUUCGUAGAUAUUGGGAAGAACACCGGUGGCGAAGGCGGCGAGCUGGUCCAUUACUGACGCUGAGGCGCGACAGCGUGGGGGAGCAAACAGG